rnacentral:lncRNA from 1 species
AACAAACAUGAUGGUCCCAUAUAUUAAUUUGACUUUGUUGCAUUACAAAGAACAUGAUCCAAAGGUUACAAUAAGUGAUACUAAAAUAGUACCCUAAUCUCGACGUUUCAAUCAACGCCUCGACCAUUCUAAAACACAAUGUUUGAAUUACCCACACUGGAAAUGACAUUCUAAAAAACUUCAUAAGACUAUCGAAUAGCAGCCCCAUUCUCCACCUUGCAAUCAACAUAUGGGCCAUGCAUCAUCAAUUUAUCAUAGCAACCUACAACAAUAAAGAAAUCAUAUCAGCAAGUUAUUUUGGAAAGAACAAGGUUAAGAGCGACCAAAUUAAAG